AUUUCAAUUCUUUCAAAUAUUCUAUCCAAACAAGUUAUUUUAUCAUGAAUCAUUUUAAAUUCCCCAAAAAAACAAAUUCCUCUGCUGAAUUGCUCCAUCCAAACACACUAUUAGACCGGAGUCUUCAUUCCAUGCCAAUGAUGUCAUGUAAUCUGCAUUUUUUUUUCAUUAUCACAUUAAUGCCUGUAGUUGCUGCCAGACAAGGUAGCACAUUGACUGAAUGAGAAAUUUGCUUGCACCAUUGCAAUUGAUUCCUUUUUUGGUGUUAUUUUGUUUCCCUUCAUCUGGUUUCUAUCUGUUAAAAGGUAAGCUGGUUAUUAUAGUGGAAGCAUAUGACACUUGUUUAUGAGAUCAUUUUUUUUAUCAAGGGGAAACCAAUUUUCAAUAGAUAUUUGAAUAAAAGAUACUGUUAAGGAUGCAUUUUUAUGAGAAAAUUUUUAUAUUUAUGCUUCAACUUCACUUGGGGGUGAAUAGUGGAGCUGCAAGGUUUGUCAUUGAGCAUCAGGCAGCAAAUGAGCCAACUUUCCGCUGUCCAGAUGAGUUAGGAUGGCAACCGCAGUCCUUGAGGAUGGAGGAAUUUCUCGAACCAGACAGAAUUCUAUGCCCGUUGAUGCAAUCUUGAAAUCCUUGAAGAAGGGAGAGCUUAUGACGUGAUGAUUUCAGGCGACACAGGACGCUUUGUGUGCAAUUAUGUGUACUACCAUAGCACUCCCUCCGAUUUGCAGAACAGAAGGGUAACAAGUCUCUAUUUGUCCAUGUUCCCCUAUUUUCAAGAGUCGAUCAAGAAACCCAAAUGCGAUUCACAGCAUCUCUUUUGGAUGUCAUUGCUUCUGCAUGUUAAUGCAACAUUGGAUAUGUUUACAAGGAUUGCCAUGUCCACUUGUAAAUCAUCUGUCUCAAAGAGCAAUGCAAUUAUAAAGCAAUCUAUGAUGAA